rnacentral:snoRNA from 1 species
GUCCAAGGUGCACAGAGUGGUGGGGUCUGCAGUGGCCCUGUGCAGUCCGACAGUGCUUGAUAGAACACUUUUGAAAUGGCUUGACCUGCUCUAUCCAGAGCACAGUUAUAGAAAUUUUAGGCAAUU